rnacentral:rRNA from 1 species
GACGACGCUGGCGGCGUGCCUAACACAUGCAAGUCGAGCGGAGGUAUUCAAGGAGCAAUCUGCGGAUACUUUAGCGGCGGACGGGUGAGUAACGCGUGAGCAACCUGCCUUUCACAGGGGGAUAAGGCGGCGAAAGCCGCUCUAAUACCGCAUGAGACCCCGGUGGUGAUACCACAGUGGUCAAAGGAGCAAUCCGGUGAGAGAUGGGCUCGCGUCCGAUUAGGUAGUUGGUGGGGUAAAGGCUCACCAAGCCAAUGAUCGGUAGCCGGCCUGAGAGGGUGAACGGCCACAUUGGAACUGAGAGACGGUCCAAACUCCUACGGGAGGCAGCAGUGGGGAAUAUUGGGCAAUGGGGGAAACCCUGACCCAGCAACGCCGCGUGAGGGAAGAAGGUUUUCGGAUUGUAAACCUCUGUUCUUGGGGAAGAGCAGAAGACGGUACCCAAGGAGGAAGCCCCGGCUAACUACGUG